rnacentral:rRNA from 1 species
GACGAACGCUGGGCGGCGUGCCUAAUACAUGCAAGUUGAGCGCUGAAGGUUGGUACUUGUACCAACGGAUGAGCAGCGAACGGGUGAGUAACGCGUGGGGAAUCUGCCUUUGAGCGGGGGACAACAUUUGGAAACGAAUGCUAAUACCGCAUAAAAACUUUAAACACAAGUUUUAAGUUUGAAAGAUGCAAUUGCAUCACUCAAAGAUGAUCCCGCGUUGUAUUAGCUAGUUGGUGAGGUAAAGGCUCACCAAGGCGAUGAUACAUAGCCGACCUGAGAGGGUGAUCGGCCACAUUGGGACUGAGACACGGCCCAAACUCCUACGGGAGGCAGCAGUAGGGAAUCUUCGGCAAUGGACGAAAGUCUGACCGAGCAACGCCGCGUGAGUGAAGAAGGUUUUCGGAUCGUAAAACUCUGUUGGCAGAGAAGAACGCUGGUGAGAGUGGA